GUCAGUGUUGCAAUGUCAGAUGAAGUGAUUGAAUCCCUGGAAUAGUGGUAAGGCAUGCCUCCACAGGGAUAUGUUCUCAAAACCAAGAAGGGUGAGGAAAGCUCUGCCACAUUUCUGCAACUGACUGCCUCACACCCAGCCUGGGAGGCAACUCAGUCAUGUGCAAGGAUGGUCUUCCACAUAUUCCCCCUUCUUUCUUUGAAAAAGCAGGUGAUGAUUUACUCUCUUGAGUCCCCAAAUUCUUGCUUUGAAGACUUGCCAUCCUAUAAUUACAACACAAAAGAGAAUUAAGAGCAAAGAGAACAAUGCAAAAAUAUAUCAGGCAGAGUUUUUAAGAAUGUUUCUGAGGUUAAAGCCAUUUAAUUCUUUUAAUAUUUGAUUAGCUAAGGAAGAAGGAUCUGAAAAAUCAGCUCUAUUAUUUUGAAUAUCCUGAAUAUGAUGAUGGAGCUCCAAAAGAUCCAAGCUGUUAUUAUUAUUUUGCCAAAUACCCAAUAUAUGGUUUUUAAACUCCUCCCAAUCCCACAGGGAGGUAUUGUACUUGGCGGCUGUAACACACACAUAUUUAUAACUUGCGUGACAUUUGAGUCUUUCUUUAAACUUUAAAGCUGAAAGCUCAUUACCUAUAUUUAUGACAGUUGCCUGUAAGGUAUAUAACUUAGUCUCAAUCCUUUCAUCAAUGUUUAUUUGAUUGUGAAGAGCCUUGGAAGUAUUCUGAGCCAAAUUAUUAAGAAAAUUUGCAUGUUGACUAUUUUGAGAUAUAGCCACCACUGAAGCUGUGACUGUCAAGGCAAUAAAGGAAACCAAGGCAACAACUCUCACUAUUAUAAUUCUAAUGGCAUGUUUAGGUCUCACUAGUUGGGCAUGUAUUUGUUGUAAUACAUGCCAUCAGCAUACCAUGGCUCUGAAAUAUUAGCUGGCAAUAAGACAAAGGAGGGCUGAUGAAGUAUCAGCACUCCUUUUCCUCUUUUAUAUCUGGUAAUGCAAUUAUUUAGAUUAUAUUUGUUACAUGUUACAAUAUAUCUAUUAUCUACCCAUUUAACUUUCACAUUUC
rnacentral:lncRNA from 1 species